UGAGGAAUAUUGGUCAAUGGGCGCAAGCCUGAACCAGCCAUGCCGCGUGAAGGAUGACUGCCCUAUGGGUUGUAAACUUCUUUUUUACGGGAAGAAACCCCUGUUCGUGAGCAGGGUUGACGGUACCGUAUGAAUAAGGAUCGGCUAACUCCGUGCCAGCAGCCGCGGUAAUACGGAGGAUCCAAGCGUUAUCCGGAUUUAUUGGGUUUAAAGGGUGCGUAGGCGGACUUAUAAGUCAGUGGUGAAAUCCUGCAGCUUAACUGCGGAACUGCCAUUGAUACUGUCGGUCUUGAGUACAGUUGGAGUAGGCGGAAUGUGUCAUGUAGCGGUGAAAUGCUUAGAUAUGACACAGAACACCGAUCGCGAAGGCAGCUUACUAAACUGUAACUGACGCUGAGGCACGAAAGCGUGGGGAUCAAACAGG
rnacentral:rRNA from 1 species